rnacentral:rRNA from 1 species
GUACCGUGAGGGAAAGGCGAAAAGAACCCCGGCGAGGGGAGUGAAAAAGAACCUGAAACCGUGUACGUACAAGCAGUGGGAGCACAGGUUUACCUGUGUGACUGCGUACCUUUUGUAUAAUGGGUCAGCGACUUAUAUUCUGUAGCAAGGUUAACCGAAUAGGGGAGCCGGAGGGAAACCGAGUCUUAAUUGGGCGUUAAGUUGCAGGGUAUAGACCCGAAACCCGGUGAUCUAGCCAUGGGCAGGUUGAAGGUUGGGUAACACUAACUGGAGGACCGAACCGACUAAUGUUGAAAAAUUAGCGGAUGACCUGUGGCUGGGGGUGAAAGGCCAAUCAAACCGGGAGAUAGCUGGUUCUCCCCGAAAGCUAUUUAGGUAGCGCCUCGUGAAUUCAUCUCCGGGGGUAGAGCACUGUUUCGGCUAGGGGGCCAUCCCGGCUUACCAACCCGAUGCAAACUGCGAAUACCGGAGAAUGUUAUCACGGGAGACACACGGCGGGUGCUAACGUCCGUCGUGAAGAGGGAAACAACCCAGACCGCCAGCUAAGGUCCCAAAGUCAUGGUUAAGUGGGAAACGAUGUGGGAAGGCCCAGACAGCCAGGAUGUUGGCUUAGAAGCAGCCAUCAUUUAAAGAAAGCGUAAUAGCUCACUGGUCGAGUCGGCCUGCGCGGAAGAUGUAACGGGGCUAAACCAUGCACCGAAGCUGCGGCAGCGACGCUUAUGCGUUGUUGGGUAGGGGAGCGUUCUGUAAGCCUGUGAAGGUGGCCUGUGAGGGUUGCUGGAGGUAUCAGAAGUGCGAAUGCUGACAUAAGUAACGAUAAAGCGGGUGAAAAGCCCGCUCGCCGGAAGACCAAGGGUUCCUGUCCAACGUUAAUCGGGGCAGGGUGAGUCGACCCCUAAGGCGAGGCCGAAAGGCGUAGUCGAUGGGAAACGGGUUAAUAUUCCCGUACUUGGUGUUACUGCGAAGGGGGGACGGAGAAGGCUAUGUUGGCCGGGCGACGGUUGUCCCGGUUUAAGCGUGUAGGUGUGUGUUCCAGGUAAAUCCGGUUCACUUUAACACUGAGGCGUGAUGACGAGGCACUACGGUGCUGAAGUAACAAAUGCCCUGCUUCCAGGAAAAGCCUCUAAGCAUCAGGUAACAUCAAAUCGUACCCCAAACCGACACAGGUGGUCAGGUAGAGAAUACCAAGGCGCUUGAGAGAACUCGGGUGAAGGAACUAGGCAAAAUGGUGCCGUAACUUCGGGAGAAGGCACGCUGACAC